UACGGGAGGCAGCAGUGGGGAAUAUUGCACAAUGGGCGCAAGCCUGAUGCAGCCAUGCCGCGUGUAUGAAAAGGCCUUCGGUUGUAAAGUACUUUCAGUCGUGAGGAAGGUGUUAAGGUUAAUAACCUUAGCAAUUGACGUUAGCGACAGAAGAAGCACCGGCUAACUCCGUGCCAGCAGCCGCGGUAAUACGGAGGGUGCGAGCGUUAAUCGGAAUUACUGGGCGUAAAGGGCACGCAGGCGGUUAAUUAAGUUGGAUGUGAAAUCCCCGGGCUUAACCUGGGAAUGGCAUUCAAGACUGGUUAGCUAGAGUCUUGUAGAGGGGGUAGAAUUCCAUGUGUAGCGGUGAAAUGCGUAGAGAUGUGGAGGAAUACCGGUGGCGAAGGCGGCCCCCUGGACAAAGACUGACGCUCAUGUGCGAAAGCGUGGGGAGCAAAACAGGGAUUAGAUACC
rnacentral:rRNA from 1 species